AUCAGCGAAAACGCUCGCAGUGAGUUUAGGAAUAAACUUUCCCGUAUUCUGAGCUGCGGAAUAAAAGAAAACUGACAAAAGAUUCGGAGAGACAAUGGGACUGAGGGAAAAUCGAAGAUCGUCACUAAGAUGUUGUUUGAAAGAAAACAGUAAAUUUUCAUUAGUCGCGACACCAUCCUCGGAGGAAACGUUUCUUUAAAAGUAUUUAAAAGAAAAAAAAUAAGCAACAAUUUCUAAAUUUGCUGGCGGAACGAUAUCUAUCCAUGCGCAGACUCUUCCUGGUGCCUUAUUAUAGGAGAUCAGAAAAUUAAGUAAAGAUCAGAUGAGUACCUCUUAACAAAAAAGAGUCCCGCUUUCCUCAGCCGAACCGCCUGAAAAUGGUAGCGAAAAAACCGCCCCGCAACACCGCCCUCGUCGUCUCGGCGAUCCGGAAGCUGCGGGAUAUCCAGGGCACCACUUCCCGCGAGAUAGUGAAUUUCAUCUCUUCGGAAUACGACGUCUCCGGACCCAACCUCAAGCGCCACGUCCAGAUGGCCCUGAAGCGCGGGAUGUCCUACGGUUUGAUCCAUCGCGCAAAAGGCGGCUACUACCUCUCGAACCCCAAGGGGCUGACGAUCAGCUGCGACGACUUGGUUGAUCGUGGCAGAAGAGGAGGGUGCGGAGGCCGGAAACGACGCAGGCGAAGGAGCAGGCGCGGGAAAUGUGGACGCAGGCGAUCCCGCAGGCGAAGGAGGCACG